rnacentral:rRNA from 1 species
AUUGAACGCUGGCGGCAUGCCUUACACAUGCAAGUCGAACGGCAGCACGGGAGCAAUCCUGGUGGCGAGUGGCGAACGGGUGAGUAAUAUAUCGGAACGUGCCCAGUAGUGGGGGAUAACUGCUCGAAAGAGCAGCUAAUACCGCAUACGACCUGAGGGUGAAAGGGGGGGAUCGCAAGACCUCUCGCUAUUGGAGCGGCCGAUAUCAGAUUAGCUAGUUGGUGGGGUAAAGGCCUACCAAGGCAACGAUCUGUAGUCGGUCUGAGAAGAUGACCAGCCACACUGGGACUGAGACACGGCCCAGACUCCUACGGGAGGCAGCAGUGGGGAAUUUUGGACAAUGGGCGCAAGCCUGAUCCAGCAAUGCCGCGUGCAGGAAGAAGGCCUUCGGGUUGUAAACCGCUUUUGUCAGGGAAGAAAUCCUCUAGGUUAAUACCCUUGGGGGGAUGACGGUACCUGAAGAAUAAGCACCGGCUAACUACGUGCCAGCAGCCGCAGUAAAAC